AUGGACAGUGCGGGCAUGGAAUUUUUGCUUGAAGCGGUCGACAGGUUCCCGGUGAAAGAGGAGUUCACUGACAACCUUGAACAGCAGGAUCCGAUUUUGUUCCCUUUCCUGUUAGAAAACGGAGCAGCCAAUGCGAAGGGAGGUGAUUCAGAUGCUGGGUCUGGUAUGGCUCAGAAGGUUGGGGGAGAUGGGGCGAUUGGAGCCCAGGAAGGUGCGUGUCGUCGUGCUGCUUCCCCAACAAGGUCCGCAAAAUCCAUAGAUAGAGUAAAUCCAGAGGCACCUCGCUGGACUAAAAGGUAA
rnacentral:rRNA from 1 species